rnacentral:rRNA from 1 species
AAGUGUGAAGUGCAAGCCCGGGGCUCAAUCCCGGGACUGCUUUGGAAACUGUUACGCUGGAGUGCUGGAGAGGUAAGCGGAAUUCCUAGUGUAGCGGUGAAAUGCGUAGAUAUUAGGAGGAACACCAGUGGCGAAGGCGGCUUACUGGACAGUAACUGACGUUGAGGCUCGAAAGCGUGGGGAGCAAA